GGGGAUGUAGCUCAGUUGGGAGAGCGCUGCGUUCGCAUCGCAGAGGUCAAGGGUUCGAGUCCCUCCAUCUCCACCA
rnacentral:tRNA from 1 species